rnacentral:misc_RNA from 1 species
AAAUGUUGUUUUAUGGCAUACUAAAUUAUGGAUUGUUUCUGGCUAGGUGGUUUAAAUAAUCAUCAGAUUUUGAUUAGAUUGGCUGCAGUGUGCCAACAUUUUCAAGAGCAGAAAUGCAACAGCUAAAAAUGGAGGAAAAACUGAAGCUGGCUUCACUGAAACCGGAGAAAGAAAAACCAAGCCAACCCAAUCUUUGAAGGUUUGUUCAGCAGUGUUAUUGUGAGUGUUGAAAUCCAGAGACCAAGCGUGAUGCUUUUGCAGGGUUGCAGCAUAGAGCACUCAUUAGAUCAUGUGCUUUUUUUGAUUUUUAUUAAUGGGAAAAUCGGGUAACCUUGCUAACGUAGCAAUAUGGCGUGUGUCUUCUUCGGUCAUUAGGUCGUCAUUGACUAAAUUCCACCUAUCCGCCAUUUGUUUCCCAGCCACUGACUGAAAACGUAUUUCAAUAUUCAUCACGGGUUUCACUGGCCAUUUGAUGUUCAAGCUGUAAAUGGAGAUGCUGCCCAAUAAAGAGAUGGCAAAAGGUGUGCUGCUGCUGUCCUUCCUUAUCACACUGGAUUUAUCAGUGAUGUUGUGAAACCAGAAUUGCCAGAUGACGGCCCAGACCUAUUCCUUACGGCGUAUUUUCUUUCCUCACGUUUUCUUCAUAAGAAUGUUAUUUGUGUGGUAACCUAGCCUAUAAUUUCUACUUGGAAAUUACAGCUGAUCAUGUGGCCUGAGCCUGAGCAUCUGUACCAUGAUCUGUACAUUUUGCCAAGAUGUCUUCUCUUUUUCCUGUACGUACCGGCUGUACGUUUUGUAAGAAACACUUCAGAACAAAUCAGUCUGGUAAAGUCUGAGCUUCGUCAUUGCUGCCCAAUGAACACAUGGAUUUUAUGCAGCCAGCUGGAAAAGGUUGUUCCUCUUGCUAACUGUACUGCUAUGUGUUUCGUCAAAUGAAGAAACAUAAACAACUGAAGUUUAUCGUGUAUGUUCGCGUAGUUUCUGUCCGCUGUGGUACGUUGUUGCAGCCUAUGCUGGUGAUAGAUCUUUCUGCAUCAAAUUCCCUUGGUGCUGGUGUCGUGUUACCGAAGUUGCAUCAUUAUUUUGUUAAAUUAUCAUCGUGACUAUUGCAGUUUACCGUUAAUAAGUUCAGAAGCAACAAAAAAGAAAUUCGGGAUGUUUAUGUCAAACAAAUAAUAAACAUUUUUUCGGGAUUGGGAAAGGGAAGUGGAGGAUGUUGGAGGGGGGAUAUUUCAAGUUUGGA